rnacentral:tRNA from 1 species
GGGGUUGUGGCUCAGCGGUAGAGCACUAGCCUAGCAUAUGCAAGGCCCUGAGUUCAAUCCUCAGCACCACA